rnacentral:rRNA from 1 species
CCUACGGGAGGCAGCAGUGAGGAAUAUUGGUCAAUGGGCGAGAGCCUGAACCAGCCAAGUCGCGUGAGGGAGUACUGCCCUCUGGGUUGUAAACCUCUUUUGUCGGGGAGCAAAAGCCGGACGUGUCCGGCUGUGAGAGUACCCGAAGAAAAAGCAUCGGCUAACUCCGUGUCAGCAGCCGCGGUAAUACGGAGGAUGCGAGCGUUAUCCGGAUUUAUUGGGUUUAAAGGGUGCGCAGGCGGAUUUUUAAGUCAGCGGUGAAAUCGUGGGGCCCAACCCCGGGACUGCUCUUGGAACUGCAUGGCUGGAGUACAGGAGGGGCAGGCGGAAUUCCUAGUGUAGCGGUGAAAUGCGUAGAUAUUAGGAGGAACACCGGUGGCGAAGGCGGCCUGCGGGACUGUGAUUGACGUUGAGGCCCGAAGGCGUGGGGAGCAAACAGGAUUAGAUACCCUUGUAGUC